rnacentral:rRNA from 1 species
UUCCUACGGGGCGCAGCAGUGGGGAAUAUUGCACAAUGGGGGGAACCCUGAUGCAGCGACGCCGCGUGAGUGAAGAAGUAUUUCGGUAUGUAAAGCUCUGUCAGCAGGGAAGAAGAAAGACGGUACCUGACCAAGAAGCCCCGGCUAACUACGUGCCAGCAGCCGCGGUAAUACGUAGGGGGCAAGCGUUAUCCGGAUUUACUGGGUGUAAAGGGAGCGCAGGCGGGUAGCCAAGUUAGCUGUGAAAAC